rnacentral:rRNA from 1 species
ACGCACGUACGUUGGGCGCUAGAUGUGGGGACCAUUCCACGGUUUCCGUGUCGUAGCUAACGCAUUAAGCGCCCCGCCUGGGGAGUACGGCCGCAAGGCUAAAACUCAAAGGAAUUGACGGGGGCCCGCACAAGCGGCGGAGCAUGCGGAUUAAUUCGAUGCAACGCGAAGAACCUUACCAAGGCUUGACAUAUACCGGAAACGUUCAGAAAUGUUCGCCCCGCAAGGUCGGUAUACAGGUGGUGCAUGGUUGUCGUCAGCUCGUGUCGUGAGAUGUUGGGUUAAGUCCCGCAACGAGCGCAACCCUCGUCGUAUGUUGCCAGCACGUAAUGGUGGGAACUCAUAUGAGACUGCCGGGGUCAACUCGGAGGAAGGUGGGGAUGACGUCAAAUCAUCAUGCCCCUUAUGUCUUGGGCUUCACGCAUGCUACAAUGGCUGGUACAAUGGGCUGCAAUACCGCGAGGUGGAGCGAAUCCCAAAAAGCCAGUCUCAGUUCGGAUUGGGGUCUGCAACUCGACCCCAUGAAGUCGGAGUCGCUAGUAAUCGCAGAUCAGCAACGCUGCGGUGAAUACGUUCCCGGGCCUUGUACACACCGCCCGUCAAGUCAUGAAAGUCGGUAACACCCGAAGCCGGUGGCCUAACCUUUUGGAGGGAGCCGUCGAAGGUGGGAUCGGUAAUUAGGACUAAGUCGUAACAAAGGUAACCCA